rnacentral:tRNA from 6 species
GGCCCCAUAGCACAACUGGAUAGGGCAUCCGCCUCCUAAGCGGCAGAUCUCAGUUCGAGUCUGAGUGGGGUCA